rnacentral:rRNA from 1 species
GCAAGUCGAGCGAGAAGAUUAUGAUGGAUCCUUCGGGUGACAGCUUAAUUGGAAAGCGGCGGACGGGGGAGUAACGCGUGGGCAACCUGCCCUGUAUAAAGGGAUAGCCACUGGAAACGGUGAUUAAUACCUUAUAAGACUACAGAAACACAUGUUUCGGUAGCCAAAGCUCCGGCGAUACAGGAUGGGCCCGCGUUUGAUUAGCUAGUUGGUAAGGUAACGGCUUACCAAGGCGACGAUCAAUAGCCGACCUGAGAGGGUGAUC